GUCCAGGGAUGGGAAUCGAACCCACAGUGUUCCGCUUACCGGGCAGAUGCCAUGUCCACUAGGCUACCCUGGU